GCCAUGGCAACAGCUUCGGAGGAGAGGACUUGAAAGCUCAAGGCUCCCACUUACUCUCCACAGACCCGCGCCUGAGCUCCCCACUUCCCAGGAGGCGGCGCCCACGCAGAGCCACCUGUGUCAUUCCUCCUAUCUGGCUCCCCCGGGGAUCCAGAAACAACCAACCAACCCAGGAAAUAGCAAACCCUCCUAGGAUCUCUGGCUUCAAACUCAUGGCAGCAAACUCCGCAGUCCAGAGCAUUUGCUGGCCGGAAAGAAUGGAGAAUUUCUUAUUAAAAUCUGGGCUUUUCUCUUCCA
rnacentral:lncRNA from 1 species